rnacentral:rRNA from 1 species
CGGCUGAGAGGCUGACCGGCCACACUGGGACUGAGACUACGGGCCCAGACUCUCUACGGGAGGCAGCAGUGGGGAAUAUUGCACAAUGGGCGAAAGCCUGAUGCAGCGACGCCGCGUGAGGGAUGACGGCCUUCGGGUUGUAAACCUCUUUCAGCAGGGAAGAAGCGAAAGUGACGGUACCUGCAGAAGAAGCGCCGGCUAACUACGUGCCAGCAGCCGCGGUAAUACGUAGGGCGCAAGCGUUGUCCGGAAUUAUUGGGCGUAAAGAGGUCGUAGGCGGGUUGACACGUCGGUAGUGAAAGCCCGGGGGUUAACCCCGGGUCUGCAUUCGAUACGGGCAGGCUAGAGUUCAGGAGGGGAGAUCGGAAUUCCUGGUGUAGCGGUGAAAUGCGCAGAUAUCAGGAGGAACACCGGUGGCGAAGGCGGAUCUCUGGGCCGAUACUGACGCUGAGGAGCGAAAGCGUGGGGAGCGAACAGGAUUAGAUACCCUGGUAGUCCACGCCGUAAACGGUGGGCACUAGGUGUGGGCAACAUUCCACGUUGUCCGUGCCGCAGCUAACGCAUUAAGUGCCCCGCCUGGGGGAGUACGG